rnacentral:rRNA from 1 species
AGUGAACGCUGGCGGUAGGCCUAACACAUGCAAGUCGAACGGCAGCACAGUAAGAUCUUGCUCUUACGGGUGGCGAGUGGCGGACGGGUGAGGAAUACAUCGGAAUCUUCUUUUUCGUGGGUGAUAACGUAGGGAAACUUACACUACUACCGCAUACUUCCUACCGGUGGAAUCAGGAGAUCUUCACACCUUGGCCGACUGAAUUAGCCGAUGUCGGAUUAGAUAGUUGGGUGGGUAAAGGCCCACCAAGGCGACGAUCCGUAGCUGAGCUGAGAGGAUGAUCAGCCACACUGGAACUGAGACACGGUCCAGACUCCUACGGGAGGCAGCAGUAGGGAAUAUUCGGCAAUGGGCGAAAGCCUGACCCAGCCAUGCCGCGUGAGUGAAGAAGGCCUUCGGAUUGUAAAGCCCUGUUGUUGGGGAAGAAAAGCUGCAGGUGAAUCCCUGGCUGUUCUGACGGUACCCAAAGAAUAAGCACCGGCUAACUUCGUG